GACGAACGCUGGCGGCGUGCUUAACACAUGCAAGUCGAACGGAAAGGCCCUGCUUUUGUGGGGUGCUCGAGUGGCGCACGGGUGAGUAACACGUGUGUAACCUGCCCUUGACUUUGGGAUAACUUCUGGAAACUGGGGCUAAUACCGGAUAGGAGCUCCUGCUGCAUGGUGGGCGUUGGAAAGUUUCGGCGGUUGUGGAUGGACUCGCGGCUUAUCCGCUUGUUGGUGGGGUAGUGGCUUACCAAGGCUUUGACGGGUAGCCGGCCUGAGAGGGUGACCGGGCACAAUGGUACUGAGAUACGGCCCAGACUGCUACGGGAGGCAGCAGGGGGGAAUAUUGCACAACGGGCGGAAGCCUGAUGCAGCAACGCCGGGUGCGGGAUGACGGCCUUCGGGUUGUAAACCGCUUUCGCCUGUGACGAAGCGUGAGUGACGGUAAUGGGUAAAGAAGCACCGGCUAACUACGUG
rnacentral:rRNA from 1 species